AACGAACGCUGGCGGCAUGCCUAACACAUGCAAGUCGAACGCAUCGCAAGAUGAGUGGCAGACGGGUGAGUAACGCGUGGAAACAUACCCUUUUCUACGGAGUAGCUCUGGGAAACUGGAAUUAAUACCGUAUACGCCCUACGGGGGAAAGAUUUAUCGGGGAAGGAUUGGCCCGCGUUGGAUUAGCUAGUUGGUGGGGUAAAGGCCUACCAAGGCGACGAUCCAUAGCUGGUCUGAGAGGAUGAUCAGCCACAUUGGGACUGAGACACGGCCCAAACUCCUACGGGAGGCAGCAGUGGGGAAUAUUGGACAAUGGGCGCAAGCCUGAUCCAGCCAUGCCGCGUGAGUGAUGAAGGCCUUAGGGUUGUAAAGCUCUUUCACCGAUGAAGAUAAUGACGGUAGUCGGAGAAGAAGCCCCGGCUAACUUCGUGCCAGCCGCCGCCGUAA
rnacentral:rRNA from 1 species